UACGAAGGGUGCAAGCGUUACUCGGAAUUACUGGGCGUAAAGCGUGCGUAGGUGGUUCGUUAAGUCUGUCGUGAAAGCCCCGGGCUCAACCUGGGAAUGGCGAUGGAUACUGGCGGGCUAGAGUGCGGUAGAGGGUGGUGGAAUUCCCGGUGUAGCAGUGAAAUGCGUAGAGAUGCGGAGGAACACCGAUGGCGAAGGCAGCCCCCUGGGCUAACACUGACGCUCAGGCACGAAAGCGUGGGGAGCAAACAGG
rnacentral:rRNA from 1 species